ensembl:lncRNA
CUUCACUUGCGCUGGAUACGGGGAGGCUUUGACUUUUUUCAUCCCAGUUUCUGUCUCAAAACAACCGUAUUCUCGUCUAAAUCUGCUGAAGAACCUGACGGGUAGACCGUCUAUCUGAUGCUGUCUGGUCCAAACCAAGUAUGACAGUGUUUACCCCGGCUAGCAUUGACAGCAAGAGAAGGCAGCGAGCAUCUGGGCUCCAUCGAGCUCAACUGUGAAGGGUCUUGCCCCAUCAACAAGAAAGGGCUUCCCCAGUGAUUUUACCCAUGCACAGUUACUGCAGGCCCUCCUACACCCAGGUGACAGACUACGGGUUCAGGGCAGAAGCCAUCAUCCCACAGAACAUACUAAAGGCCUGGGGAAGUCAUUAGCCACCACACACAACAGGACACUGUCCAAUGUAGGAAAUCCAAGAGGCACAUUCCAUGGUGUUUCCCUAAGCCGGGGGCCUUGUGUGUCUGCUCGGCUCAGACCCCCUU